UACGUAGGUGGCAAGCGUUGUCCGGAUUUACUGGGCGUAAAGAGCGCGCAGGCGGUCGUUUCAAGUCGAGUGUGAAAGCCCCCGGCUCAACUGGGGAGGGUCAUUCGAUACUGAUCGACUCGAAGGCAGGAGAGGGUAGUGGAAUUCCCGGUGUAGUGGUGAAAUGCGUAGAUAUCGGGAGGAACACCAGUGGCGAAGGCGACUACCUGGCCUGUUCUUGACGCUGAGGCGCGAAAGCUAGGGGAGCAAACGGGG
rnacentral:rRNA from 1 species